rnacentral:rRNA from 1 species
GACGAACCGUCCAAACGUUAUUCGGAAUUACUGGGCUUAAAGGGUGCGUAGGCGGUGCGGAAAGUUGGGUGUGAAAUCCCUCGGCCCAACCGAGGAACUGCGCCCGAGACUGCUUCUCUUGAGUCCCGGAGAGGAAGGUGGAAUUCCCGGUGUAGCGGUGAAAUGUGUAGAGAUCGGGAGGAACACCGGUGGCGAAGGCGGCCUUCUGGACGGUGACUGACGCUGAGGCGCGAAAGCGUGGGGAGCAAACGGG